GAGGAACUCGCCCCGAGAACAGAGAAAAGGUAGGAAAGGAGAGGAGAUGCUGAUGGCAUCUGGAAACAAGUCUUAGAGAUGGUCUCCACCCAGAGGGAAUAAGGGGAGACAUCCCCAACUGGAAUGUGUCCUGGAGCAGCUGCCUGGGAAGAAGUCCUCGAGUUUCCUCAAGGCCCCACUCCUGGCAGCUGAGUGCUGCACCUGCCUUCUUGAUCACGAGCCUGAGAACUGCACGGGGGAGCAGCCCAGACUGGCUGGAAACCAUGUUUUCAGAGUGCAGGGUCAAGCGGCGUGUAGGACUCUGUCAAAAGAAUGACCCCUUUCCCCACCACAUACCCACAACUGCACAGCCUCUGGACAGAUGUGAGAAGGCACCACCUCAAGAGGGGAGGAGCGGGCCUGAUCCUGGUCGGGCGGACCUAAGUCGGGCAGCCGCUCUCCCGGAACUGGAAGGGAAAGCCAGGCGGCUCUCAGGGGCUGUUGGUGUCUGAGCCGGGAGGGUCGAACGCCCAGGGCACUGCGCCCCGCAACUGACGCUCCUGCAAGGAAAAGCUCUGGCACGCCGAUGACGUCGCCGGCCUCGUCCAGCUCCAUGUCGCCCUCCGUCGCCAGGAUGC
rnacentral:sRNA from 1 species